rnacentral:misc_RNA from 1 species
CCAAGAACGCCAACAGCAGCAGCAGCAGCAAGCUCAAACCCUGUGCUCGCGUCUCUCUUGACUUCGUGCGCCUCCGCUCUCCAGCAGACCCGCACGGCUUCCUUGUUCUCUGUUGGCUUCUGCGCACACCUGCCUACCCCGCGCACCUGCCUGCUUCUCCCUCUCUCUCUCUCGGUGUGUGCGCUGUAACGCCGCAACGCAUCAAAACAUAGAAGACGGACGGCUCUUCGAAAUCCGGCGCGGCUCACAUCCGGGCAAGGGCGCACUGGCCUGAAACACGCACAGCACUCGCCGAAGAAGGCAGCCGCCCAUGCCGGGCAGCGUCGGCAUCUUUGCGGAGGCCGAUGUGGCCGACCCGGGCGAGCCGGCGACGCACGCGAACACCACCGCGGCUGCCAGCACAAAAGCCGUGGACAACCGCGCCAAGACGGUGCGGCCCCGCUGCGGCCGCCCGCGCAAGGUGGUCGUGUACUAUUUUGACUCUGAUGCUGAGAAUGACGAAGGGGUCGCGGACGCGGUCGAGAACGACUCCACCACCUCUCCAAGUGAGGAGUUAAAGGCGCUCAGCCGCUGCGGACCUCCGAACGCGCCGGAACGCGUGUGCUGCUACUCGCACUGCGGCCACCGGCGCGCGCCGGCGCAUAGGCCGAUCUCCCCCGAGAACCCGCGCAUCGGCUCGCCGACGCCGCUCGGCUUCUUUGCCUUCGGUAUGACGAUGCUUCUCUACAACGUGCACAACGCGAAUAUCUGCCGGCUGAACAUGGCCACGAUGGGCCUCAUCCUGAUAUUUGGCGGCCUGACCCAAUUUGUGUGUGGCUUCUUCGAGCUCAUCAACAGGAACACGCUCGGCUGCACCAUUUCUACGACGUACGGUGCGUUCUGGGUGGCAACGGCGAUUCUCUUUCUGUGGCCGGAGAGCAGCUACGUGGAAAAGGGCGAUAACAACUAUAUGGGCGGCUUCUUUCUCCUGUGGUUUGUCUUCGCCAGCUCGCUGUUCGCCUCGUCCUUCCGCUCCCCCUUUACAUGCAUGGCGCUCCUAUUCCUCGUGCCGCUGAACUUCCUGCUGCAGAGCAUCGGCUUCUUCUUGAAUAGCGACACCAUCGCGCACGUCACCGGGUACUUGGGCAUGGUCAUUGGCGCGCUGGCGACGUAUAUUGGCAUGGCCUUCACCCUCCGUGACGUGUACGGCCGCUCGCUGCUGCCUAUUCUGUUUCAGAAAAGGAUGCGCUACGUCGAGUGGUAGCCGUUGACCCGGGCCGCUCGGAAACGAAAAGGGAGGCCGUUCGAAUAAGAGAGAGACACACACACACGCACAUGCGAUGGUGGUGCAUCGAGGAGGAAAGAAGGCGAAGCGACGGACGCCGUGAACGCCGUUGCACGAUGGCCCGAGAUGGCACCACACACUCUUACCUCCGCCCUCUCUGUACGCGUGAGCAACUGCGUGUCUGCGCGAUUCGUGAGGAGGAGGAGGAGGAUGACGGCCGCGCCUCCUCCCCACCUCUCCCCUUCCCCCCCUGUCUGUCUGUCUUUCUUAUCCACGUGUUUUUUGCUUGUUGUUUUCUCUCUUCCUCGUUGGUGGUGGUGUUGUUGUUUUUUUUUUCUUUUUGUUUUUCGCUCGCUCGUCUUCUUGCGAUCGGACCACCCUUCAGAGGAUUCUCCCCUUGUGCGUGAGCGCGCCCGCCGACGCUGACGCUGCUGUUCUCACGGUGAUGAGUGUUUUGGUGGUGACGCGCGUCACAUCGGCGUCGCAACGACGACGACAACAACAGCGAAAGCGGACCUCCCCUCCUAAGCGCCAACGAAUAAAAGCAGCGAAGGAGAGCACGCACACACAAACACAGGCGCGCAUAAAGGAGGAGGAAAUGGUGGGAUGGUGGAGGAAGGGGAAGGGGAGGGCAGAGCGUCCACGUCACACAUCCCGCGGUGCGGCCAUACCUGCGCACCUGCUCUUUUCUGCUUCUGUGCUCUUCCUUUUCGUAUCUCCUUGUCGCAUCUCCAUCUCCAUCUCCAUAUAUCUCUCUCUCCGCACACGCACACGCACACGCACGCACAUAUUUAUCUAUAUUUGUAUCUGUGUGUGUGUGUGUGUGUGUGCGUGUGUAUAUGUACCUGUUUCCCUCUUCGUGCUUCGUUGCUUCUUCUUCGCGGUUGUUGUGGAUGUCCUCAGAGGCGGCCCCUCCCGCCCACCCACCCCACCGCUAAACCGCACGCGUGCGCCUGCUUGCGUGUCCAUGCUUUGCUGGUGCUGCGGUUACUUUCCACCAUCCGUCCUCCUCUUCCUCCUCCCCCCCCCGUAUGUGUGUGUUUGUGUGUGUACAUGUGCAUGCGCGUAUGCCUGCCCUUCUUGUGUGUUACGGUCGCUUCAUCUGCUCGUCUCCGCGCCCUCCCCUCCCCCUCCUCCUCACCCUACCCGAAUCCACUUCUCUCCUCUCUCCUCUUGUCUGCUCCAGCAACGUCAAGCGGAUAUACGGUGUCUCGUGAUCGUGGCUGUUUCUCUCUCUCUCUGUCCGCGUAUGAGCAGGUCCCGCGGAGCGAUACACUGUUAACCGGCACACGUCGAAAAGAGACGGCGUGCUGGGGCAGGGGAGACGCGAGAGAUGGCGUGUGUGUGUGAGGGGAGAGGGGGGAGGAGGGCGUAAUAAAAAGGCAGAGCAUCGUCAGAGGAACGGCACGACAACAAGGAAGAAGCGGAGAUGUGCGUCCCCGAAUAUCAGCUGCGCCCUCUCUCGUAGGCAGCACAGGCAUGUAUGUUUCUUUCUUUCUGUGGGGAGCGCGAGCCCGUAAUUCGACGUAACCGUAAACGUGUUCCACUGCCUUGCUUCCGCCUGAGCCACCCACCCCAGCCUUUUCUUCCGACGCCUCCCCUAUGAGGCGGGGGAGGGGAGAUGGGUGAGGGAGGAGGGGGAGACGUGUACGCCACACAUACGACUCCCCCUCCUCCUCCGAGCACGUGCGCAGUGUUUCGCGCAGACACUCUGGCGUCGCUGCCAUGUGUGCGCAUAGCGAUUAAGUACUCAGCAGUGAUGCCGAGUCUCCCCUCGCUCCCUCCCUCUUGCCGUCCGCAUCUUUUCGGGAGGGGCAGCGACAACGUGAAGAGCAUAUACAUAAACAUGUAUACGUUUCCAACGCUCCCUCUCGGUGCUCUUGUGCCAACUUCAAGCAGCCCCCGCUGUGUUACAUCGAGGUACUGCGCGGAUAUACAGCCCACAAACAUAUCUGGCGCACAGACGGUGUUGACCACCUCCACCCAGCCCCCUCCCUUCCUUAGAAGAGAGGGCGCGCGCCCGCGCUGCUCCCUACAUGCGCACUGUCUCCUCUUCACGGGUGUCUUGCGACCGCCCUCUCCCGUCUCCUCAUCUGCUCGAAAUUUUUAUUUUCCUGUAUGUUUGUGGGUGUGGAUCACGCUACACUUGUGACGUUACGCCGACCCCACACGCGCACUCACGCAUGACGCACACGUCCACGACCACGGCAG